ACGUAGGGCGCGAGCGUUCUCCGCCCUUAUAGCCCGUCCCAAUCACUAAGGCGGUUUGUCGCGUCUGCCGUGAAAGUCCGGGGCUUAACUCCGGAUCUGCGGUGGGUACGGGCAGACUAGAGUGCAGUAGGGGAGACUGGAAUUCCUGGUGUAGCGGUGAAAUGCGCAGAUAUCAGGAGGAACACCGAUGGCGAAGGCAGGUCUCUGGGCUGUAACUGACGCUGAGGAGCGAAAGCAUGGGGAGCGAACAG
rnacentral:rRNA from 1 species